rnacentral:rRNA from 1 species
UGGCCUACGGGAGGCAGCAGUGGGGAAUAUUGCGCAAUGGGCGAAAGCCUGACGCAGCGACGCCGCGUGAGGGAUGAAGGUCUUCGGAUCGUAAACCUCUGUCAGGAGGGAAGAAGUGGUUAUAUGCGAAUAGUGUAUGACUUUGACGGUACCUCCAAAGGAAGCACCGGCUAACUCCGUGCCAGCAGCCGCGGUAAUACGGAGGAUGCGAGCGUUAUCCGGAUUUAUUGGGUUUAAAGGGUGCGUAGGCGGAAUGCCAAGUCAGCGGUAAAAUCGCGGGGCUCAACCUCGCUCCGCCGUUGAAA